rnacentral:rRNA from 1 species
UGGGGAAUAUUGGACAAUGGGCGAAAGCCUGAUCCAGCCAUGCCGCGUGUGUGAAGAAGGUCUUCGGAUUGUAAAGCACUUUAAGUUGGGAGGAAGGGCAUUAACCUAAUACGUUAGUGUUUUGACGUUACCGACAGAAUAAGCACCGGCUAACUCUGUGCCAGCAGCCGCGGUAAUACAGAGGGUGCAAGCGUUAAUCGGAAUUACUGGGCGUAAAGCGCGCGUAGGUGGUUUGUUAAGUUGGAUGUGAAAUCCCCGGGCUCAACCUGGGAACUGCAUUCAAAACUGAUUGACUAGAGUAUGGUAGAGGGUGGUGUAAUUUCCUGUGUAGCGGUGAAAUGCGUAGAUAUAGGAAGGAACACCAGUGGAGAACGCGACCACCUGGACUAAUACUGACACUGAGGUGCGAAAGCGUGGGGAGCAAACA